GAUGAAGAACGCAGCGAAAUGCGAUAAGUAAUGUGAAUUGCAGAAUCCAGUGAAUCAUCGAAUCUUUGAACGCACAUUGCGCCCGCCAGCAUUCUGGCGGGCAUGCCUGUUCGAGCGUCAUUUCAACCCUCGACCUCCCUUUGGGGAGGUCGGCGUUGGGGACCGGCAGCACACCGCCGGCCCUGAAAUGGAGUGGCGGCCCGUCUGCGGCGACCUCAGCGUAGUAAUACAGCUCGCACCGGAACCCCGACGCGGCCACGCCGUAAAACACCCAACUUCUGAACGUUGACCUCGAAUCAGGUAGGACUACCCGCUGAACUUAAGCAUAUCAAUAAGCGGAGGA
rnacentral:misc_RNA from 1 species